CUAAAGGAGAGGAGAUCCCGGUCAUUAAUGCGGUGAAUGGCUCGAGAGAGCAAGUACAAGGAGUGUGUUUGUGCUGCAAUUCAUAAAAAACAUGCAGCUGCUGAGAGAAAGCGAUUUGGAUUUCUAGAGGCAAAAAAGAAAAGGGCUUGUGCCAGGGUGUUGCAAGUCAGGCGAGUGGCUAAUUCUGUCUCUCACCAACGCGAGAUAGAGAGACGGAGAAUGAGGGACCAGUUGGAAAAUCGAAUGCAGAGGGCAAAGAGGCAAAAAGCAGAAUAUCUGAGGCAGAGAGGAAGGCAGUAGAGUCCUGUUCGAGUGAAUUGGAAUCGAAUGCACAAGCAGGCUGAUCUCCUUUCCAGAAAAUUGGCAAGGUGCUGGAGGCAGUUUCUUAGGUCGAGGAGAACUACGUUUGACUUGGCAGAGAACUAUGAGGCUUUGAACAUAAAUGAGAGCUCUAUUAAGUCAAUGCCAUUUGAGCAGCUGGCUCGUUUGAUUGAAUAUACUACAACUCUGUAGACUGUCAAAGCGCUGCUUGAUCGACUUGAGAGCCGCUUUAGAGUCUCUAGGCUUGUUGGCAGCAAUCAGUCAGUCAGAUGGGAUAAUAUUGAUCACCUUCUGAAAAGAGUAGCCACUCCCAGGAAAAGGACUACUCCGAGGACUUCUGUGAGGAGCACAGAAGCAAAGAAAGUAGGUGGUAUCAGGGAGGCAGCUAAAAGUCCAGUUAAAUUGUUGAGAUAUCCAGUGAGAAUAUUUCUUUGUGCCUACAUGAUUAUGGGUCAACCUGAUGCAGUUUUCAGCAGUCAAGGAGAGCGUGAGAUUGCUCUGACCAAGUCUGCAAAAGAUUUUAUUCAACAGUUUGAGUUGUUGAUGAGGAUUAUACUGGAUGGCCCAAUGCAGAGUUCGGAUGAGGAAUCUAAUUCCAUGUCACCAAAAUGUUGUACCUUCAGGUCUCAGCUUGUAACUUUUUAUAGAGCAUGGUGCACGUACUUGAAUUGCUUUGUGAUGUGGAAGAUCAAGGAUGCUCAAUCCUUGGAAGAGGACCUGGUGAGAGCUGCUUGCCAACUUGAGCUCUCUAUGAUUCAAAAAUGCAAGCUGACACCAGAAGGGGAUAUUGAUGCUCUUAGUCAUGAUAUAAAAGCCAUUCAAAAACAGGUAACAGAAGAUCAAAAGCUUUUGAGGGAAAAGAUACAACAUCUGAGUGGAGAUGCUGGGAUCGAGCGUAUGGAAUAUAUUCUAAUAGAAACAAGAUCCAAAUAUUUCCAAGCUAAGGAAAAUGGAAGUCCAAGAGGGUCACCAGUUGCAAAUAUCCUCUCCUAGCACAUCUAGCUCCCUUGCUGCAAUUCCUCCUGUUGGUAGUUUGAGUGACGAAAGUCAUGUGAUUGAGGAUAUUGAGAAGCCAAGCCGAGUAGUGCGCUCCUUAUUUAGAAAAAAUGUUGCUUUCUCUUCAAAAGGAGUUGGUUCUCCAUGAUGGGUGCUUCUGUUGAAAGGCAGAUAACAGAGAAUGAAUUGAUUAUAAAUGAAUUUCUCCAUGAGCAGUAUCUUAGCUUUGUUGAUAGCUUCAAUGCUGAUGAAGAAAACAACAUCAAGGUGUAACAGACUUUCUCACUUCACUUCACCUUGGAAAGGAACAUUAAGGUAGAUUGCUGGUCGGUUGGGGGUUCUACAAGGGAGAAAAAAAGCUCGUCAACAAGCAUUUCCCAUCAGUCAAAAAUUGGCAUAUUUCCUAUAGGUUCAGGCGAACGCAGGAGGAAAAGGAAGACCUAUCUUGUCUUUCUAAGAUGGCACCUAAGGCUCAGUACAAUAGAGAAAGAGGAAUGAAAUACAACCUAAGGGAAUCAUCCACUAGCCAAAAAACAUGCGGUAGAAGGCCUUAGGCCGAGAAGUAAGGCUUGGAUCACGUCCCAAGAAAUGAAAUUUGAUUUUAUCGGUAAGGUCACAGAUUCCUUAUAAAGAGAAAUUGAUCUUCACAUUGACUGACUGAAUCAAGCAAUUCAACUUUAUAUUUGCCAA